rnacentral:rRNA from 1 species
GACGUAGGGCGCGAGCGUUGUCCGGAAUUACUGGGCGUAAAGGGCUCGUAGGUGGCCAACUAAGUCAGACGUGAAAUCCCUCGGCUUAACCGAGGAACUGCCCUCCAAACUGCGUUGCUUGAGGCCGGGAGAGGUGAGUGGAAUUCCCAGUGUAGCGGUGAAAUGCGUAGAUAUUGGGAAGAACACCCGUGGCGAAGGCGGUUCUCUGGGACGGUACUGACGCUGAGACGCGAAAGCGUGGGGAGCGAACAGG